UCUCUCUCUCUCCUGCUGCCAAUCUCCCACCCUCUCUCUCUCCAUCAAACUUGAGGGAACCUCUCUCUCUCUCGCCUGCUGCCCCUUCACUGGCCUAUCUCUCAAACCCUCGCAAUCUCUUUGAAACCCGCCCCUUUCUCUCAAUCUCUCUCCCCGCUACUGCUCUUUGCCCCUCUCAAUACAUCUCUCGCUGCCCCUCUCUCUCGAUCUCCCUCUAUGCCCCUCUCACUCUCUAGAAAUAUAACCUAGAACACUGAAAAUUUUUGAAAUUUCCCAAAUUUUCUAUGCUCUAUUGCUGCUGCAAAGACGAUUGAGACAACCUUCGUUAGAUUGAGGCUCAUCUAAGGUUCAGAAUGAAUCUCGAUAAUCAAUUCCCACCAUUAGUUUAUAAACACAGACCACAAUGUCGUUGAAUGCGCGUAUUUAUUGCAAAAACAGGAGAUAACUACAAUAGGUCUUUCUACAAAUGCUCCAACUGGAAGAAUGAAGUGGGAUGCGGGCAUCUAGUGGGGUGUGACGAGAUCCUAGGCCAAGAUAUAAAACCCAUGGUCAGAAGGUUCGUGUCACAGAGGACAGAUGUUUGUGUCACUGAUGGAGCACAUCAUGUUCUAUAUGAAAAAGAGAAGCCCAAAGUUAUUGCUAUGGUCCCUGAGAAAGUAGCCAUGUAAAAUUUAUUAUUAUAAGCGCAAUUGUUCUUACAUGUUGAUGUUCGCCAUUCUUUUUCUUUUGAAAGGAAUGGGCAUUUGUUUCAUGGUAUCAUUACAAAUGUAGUUCAGUUUAUUAUUAUUUUUUUGUUUGGUGAUGUAUUCUAAUAUGGUUAGAAUGGCAUUUGAAUGGACAAAAAUGUGAAUGGCAUUUGAAUGUGAAUGACAUUUGAAUGGACAAAAAUAUUGAAUGGAAUUUGAAUGUGAAUGGCAUUUGAAUGGACAAAAA